CCUCAGAAGCAUGUAUAGGAACACUCAACAUGAAAAAUAUGAGAGAACUAUCUAGUGAAAGAACAUCACCCACUAAUUUUCCCAAGCAUCACAUAACUGGGCAAUGUACAGAGAAGGCAUUCAGCAGCCUCAGGGCUUUCAGCUUUACCAUGGAAGUUAAACAACUGAAAAUUCAGCCUUUUAUCCCAGGUACACCAGAUGUAGGUGCUAAGGACCAAAUAAUUAAAAGCCUCACCCUGAUCCCAGGAACAGAGGAACAGCUACACUGGCUCAGACAAAAGGUCCGUCUAGCUUCGUACUUCUCUGGCAGCAGCCA